rnacentral:rRNA from 1 species
CUACGGGUGGCACCAGUGAGGAAUUUUGCGCAAUGGGGGAAACCCUGACGCAGCAACGCCGCGUGAGCGAAGAAGGCCCUCGGGUCGUAAAGCUCUGUCAAGUGGGAAAAAAAUUCUUUGAUCAAUAGUCAAUGGACUUGAUGGUACCACUGGAGGAAGCACCGGCUAACUCCGUGCCAGCAGCCGCGGUAAUACGGAGGGUGCAAGCGUUGUUCGGAAUUACUGGGCGUAAAGAGCGUGUAGGCGGUUUGGCAAGUCAGAUGUGAAAGCCCUGGGCUCAACCUGGGAAGUGCAUUUGAAACUGCUUGACUAGAGUAUGGGAGAGGAGAUUGGAAUUCCUGGUGUAGAGGUGAAAUUCGUAGAUAUCAGGAGGAACACCCGUGGCGAAGGCGAUUCUCUGGACCAAUACUGACGCUGAGACGCGAAAGCGUGGGGAGCAAACAGGAUUAGAUACCCCUGUAGUC